GCCGGCAGCUAGCUCUCUCUGCAACAUGGUUGCCCACUAAAGCUAAGCAGGGCUGCGCCUGGCCAGUCCUGGAUAGGAGACCACAUGGGAAAACUAGGUUGCUGCCAGAA
rnacentral:rRNA from 1 species